rnacentral:lncRNA from 1 species
AUGUCCCAUCUUCAAAUUCACAUGUUAAAAAGCAAACUUAUUUUUGGUUUUCCUAAGUUUGCACUGAUUCCUAAUAUCCUGAUUUCUCUAAAAGGCAGCAUCAUCACCUUUUCUUACUUAGCCAUCACAGUUAUCUUUGACCCCUCUCCUGAACUUCCUACCUGCAUGGAAAAGCUGCCAAUUCUUAUUGCUGUUUCUCCUUCCUCAAACUUUAUUAGAUCUAUUUCCUUCCAUCCAUCCCCAUUGUCAGCAUCCCGGUUCAGAUUGGCUACCUCUUUUCUGAGCUCUUUUGAUGCACCGCCAAUCGCUCUCACUGACUUCAGUCUCUGCUCCCAUCAUCUCAUUUAUACACUUUCUUUUGAAGGAUUUUCUUUAAUACCUCUUACCAAGUCAGUGCUUUACUCUCUCUUCUAUCUUGCUCUGCAUGCCUUGACCUUCAAAGUCUUCAGGAAUCUGACUCUACUUAAAUAG